GAUGAACGCUGGCGGCGUGCCUAAUACAUGCAAGUCGAGCGAACAGAUGAGGAGCUUGCUCCUCUGACGUUAGCGGCGGACGGGUGAGUAACACGUGGAUAACCUACCUAUAAGACUGGGAUAACUUCGGGAAACCGGAGCUAAUACCGGAUAAUAUAUUGAACCGCAUGGUUCAAUAGUGAAAGACGGUUUUGCUGUCACUUAUAGAUGGAUCCGCGCCGCAUUAGCUAGUUGGUAAGGUAACGGCUUACCAAGGCAACGAUGCGUAGCCGACCUGAGAGGGUGAUCGGCCACACUGGAACUGAGACACGGCCCAGACGCCUACGGGAGGCAGCAAUAGGGAAUCUUCCGCAAUGGGCGAAAGCCCGACGUAGCAACGCCGCGUGAGUGAUGAAGGUCUUCUGAUCGUAAAACUCUGUUAUUAGGGAAGAACAAAUGUGUAAGUAACUAUGCACGUCUUGACGGUACCUAAUCAGAAAGCCACGGCUAACUACGUG
rnacentral:rRNA from 1 species